GACGAACGCUGGCGGCGUGCUUAACACAUGCAAGUCGAACGGAAAGGCCCUGCUUUUGUGGGGUGCUCGAGUGGCGAACGGGUGAGUAACACGUGAGUAACCUGCCCUUGACUUUGGGAUAACUUCAGGAAACUGGGGCUAAUACCGGAUAGGAGCUCCUGCUGCAUGGUGGGGGUUGGAAAGUUUCGGCGGUUGGGGAUGGACUCGCGGCUUAUCAGCUUGUUGGUGGGGUAGUGGCUUACCAAGGCUUUGACGGGUAGCCGGCCUGAGAGGGUGACCGGCCACAUUGGGACUGAGAUACGGCCCAGACUCCUACGGGAGGCAGCAGUGGGGAAUAUUGCACAAUGGGCGGAAGCCUGAUGCAGCGACGCCGCGUGCGGGAUGACGGCCUUCGGGUUGUAAACCGCUUUCGCCUGUGACGAAGCGUGAGUGACGGUAAUGGGUAAAGAAGCACCGGCUAACUACGUGCCAGCAGCCGCGGUGAUACGUAGGGUGCGAGCGUUGUCCGGAUUUAUUGGGCGUAAAGGGCUCGUAGGUGGUUGAUCGCGUCGGAAGUGUAAUCUUGGGGCUUAACCCUGAGCGUGCUUUCGAUACGGGUUGACUUGAGGAAGGUAGGGGAGAAUGGAAUUCCUGGUGGAGCGGUGGAAUGCGCAGAUAUCAGGAGGAACACCAGUGGCGAAGGCGGUUCUCUGGGCCUUUCCUGACGCUGAGGAGCGAAAGCGUGGGGAGCGAACAGGCUUAGAUACCCUGGUAGUCCACGCUGUAAACGGUGGGUACUAGGUGUGGGGUCCAUUCCACGGGUUCCGUGCCGUAGCUAACGCUUUAAGUACCCCGCCCGGGGAGUACGGCCGCAAGGCUAAAACUCAAAGGAAUUGACGGGGCCCCGCACAAGCGGCGGAGCAUGCGGAUUAAUUCGAUGCAACGCGUAGAACCUUACCUGGGUUUGACAUGGAUCGGGAGUGCUCAGAGAUGGGUGUGCCUCUUUUGGGGUCGGUUCACAGGUGGUGCAUGGCUGUCGUCAGCUCGUGUCGUGAGAUGUUGGGUUAAGUCCCGCAACGAGCGCAACCCUUGUUCACUGUUGCCAGCACGUUAUGGUGGGGACUCAGUGGGGACCGCCGGGGUCAACUCGGAGGAAGGUGGGGAUGACGUCAAGUCAUCAUGCCCCUUAUGUCCAGGGCUUCACGCACGCUACAAUGGCUGGUACAGAGAGUGGCGAGCCUGUGAGGGUGAGCGAAUCUCGGAAAGCCGGUCUCAGUUCGGAUUGGGGUCUGCAACUCGACCUCAUGAAGUCGGAGUCGCUAGUAAUCGCAGAUCAGCAACGCUGCGGUGAAUACGUUCCCGGG
rnacentral:rRNA from 1 species